CCUACGGGAGGCAGCAGUGAGGAAUAUUGGUCAAUGGACGAGAGUCUGAACCAGCCAAGUAGCGUGAAGGAUGACUGCCCUAUGGGUUGUAAACUUCUUUUAUCUGGGAAUAAAAUGUUCCACGUGUGGGCUUUUGUAUGUAACAUAUGAAUAAGGAUUGGCUAACUCCGUUCCAGCAGCCGCGGUAAUACGGAGGAAUCGAGCGUUAUCCGGGUUUAUUGGGGUUAAAGGGGGCCUAGGUGGGUAGUUAAGUCAGUUGUGAAAGUUUGCGGGUCAACCGUAGAAUUGCAGUUGAAACUGGCAGUCUUGAGUGCAGGAGAGGUAGGCGGAAUUCGUGGUGUAGCGGUGAAAUGCUUAGAUAUCACGAAGAACUCCGAUUGCGAAGGCAGCUCACUGGACUGCAACUGACACUGAGGCUCGAAAGUGUGGGUAUCAAACAGGAUUAGAUACCCGGGUAGUC
rnacentral:rRNA from 1 species